rnacentral:rRNA from 1 species
GUGCCAGCCGCCGCGGUAAUACGUAGGGAGCAAGCGUUGUCCGGAAUCAUUGGGCGUAAAGCGCGCGUAGGUGGCCACAUAAGUCCGUUGUGAAAGUCAAAGGCUCAACCUUUGAAAGCCGAUGGAUACUGUGUGGCUAGAGUACGGAAGAGGCGAGUGGAAUUCCUGGUGUAGCGGUGGAAUGCGCAGAUAUCAGGAGGAACACCAAUAGCGAAGGCAGCUCGCUGGGACGUUACUGACACUGAGGCGCGAAAGCGUGGGGAGCGAACAGGAUUAGAUACCCUUGUAGUCC